GAUGAAGAACGCAGCGAAAUGCGAUAAGUAAUGUGAAUUGCAGAAUUCAGUGAAUCAUCGAAUCUUUGAACGCACCUUGCGCCCUUUGGCUAUUCCGAAGGGCAUGCCUGUUUGAGUAUCAUGAACACCUCAACUCUCAUGGUUUGCCAUGAUGAGCUUGGACUUUGGGGGUCUUGCCGGCCUAUGGGUCGACUCCUCUCAAAUUAAUCAGCUUGCCAGUGUUUGGUGGCAUCACAGGUGUGAUAACUAUCUACGCUUGUGGUUUUCCAUCAGGUAACCUUCAGUGAUGGAGGUUCGCUGGGGCUCAUAAAUGUCUCUCCUCAGUGAGGACAGCUUUUUUGAACGUUUGAUCUCAAAUCAGGUAGGACUACCCGCUGAACUUAAGCAUAUCAAUAAGCGGAGGA
rnacentral:misc_RNA from 1 species